UCGGCUUCUUGCGGAUUGGGCCUCCUCCUCUGAUAUCAAAGUCUCAAUCUUUCUUCGUGCCCUCCUCAGCUCUCUCUUCGCCGAACGAAAGAAUUCGAAGGACUUGAGCUAGAAGGACCAUGGGGAAGAGGUCCGGGAGUCAGAAAAGGGAGAAGAGGGGCUCUAAGAGGAGGGCUAUCGAUGAAGACGUGGCCUCGGAAGACAUUGAUGACGAAAUAGAUGCCUUUCACAAACAAAGGGAUGUUGUGCCGCUGAACAUUCACAGUGAUGCUGGGGAGUCAGAUGAUGACAAUGAAGAGCCUGUCUUUGAUUUAAGGACGAAGAGGAUGAAGAGGAGGAUGAAGUUGAUGACACUCAAUUGACCGGGCUUGCUGCAAAAAUUGCAAGACAGCAAAAGUUUUUGCGAGCGAAAAUUGGUGGGGUGGAAGACGAAAUGCAUGAUGAGGAGGAAGAA